UUUUACUUUAUCAGCUUAAAUUUAAUUAUUCAUAGCGUAUUUUAAAUUUAGUUAUUGUGAUACUAUACUGUAUAUAUGAUACUGCAUUGGAAAUACACUAACACUCAGGACAAACUGAAAAUGUUGUUUAUAAUUUAGAUUUAUUUACACUUCGUUUAAAAUUUAAUAAUGUCAAACUUCAUAACAAUCUUAGGAGAGCCUGCUAACACUGUAAUUUUAAAUGUGGGCAGAAUUGAGAAGGAAAAAAUAUCCUAAUAGAAUGAUUUAUUAUGAAGUUAAGUCAGAGCCAGACUGAGGUUAUACAGGAAACUGGGCAGAAUUUGAUUUGAAAGACCCCUCCCAGUUAAUUAGUAAUAUUAUUAUAACUCUUAGAGUUUUUAUUCUGUGAAGAGAUAGGAUUUUCCAGGAGGCUGAAGUGAGCAGCUGAUCAGACCGAUCCUCUUUAGAUAUAAGCUAACUUCAGCAACAUUAUGGAUAACCAGAAACAUGAGAGGAAUCACUCUCUGUGAACAAGAAGAAAUCUUCAACAGAACCAGAACGACUGUCUGCUGGGAUCAGGAGAAGCACUGAGUUUCUUCAAUGAAAAGAAAAACAGAGACAAUUCAAAGUUGAUAGUAACACUGUUUUCAACCAAAGCUGCAGAUCAGAGGAACAUAGAGGAGUCCAGGAACCUUGACGUUUAUCCUGGAGCGAUGCCCAGAAUCGGCCCCAGGAACCUGAACUGUGUGGGCGCUAAGACUCCACAGUGGGAUUUCAGUGAUUUCACCGUGUUUUCAGGCAUGUGGGCUGCAUCAUGUGUGAAGAAGCAGCUGCCAUGGAAACCACCUAAAUACCUUCUCCCCUGACAGACCUUUGACCUUCUCCUGUCUGAUGAAGAUGAUGCUGGAAGCUGAGCUCCAAAAAACAUCAUUGAACAUUAUGUUUAAUAUGAAUUUAGUCUGGGCUCAAGAAAAGCAUUAAAAAGGAAUAAAUACUA